ensembl:lncRNA
AAAAAAAUUAAAAUGUCCAAACUCACAACCCACAGCAGUCGGCACCUGAGACCAUAUUGGUGCUAACACAGCUUAGAGUAAUCAGAUUCCUUUUCUGUCCAUGUAAAAGACUAGCAAGUGUCUGAACAUGAGACAAAUGCAAAUGCUGGACCCUUUAGGAAAAGUGCCAGAUCACAUCCCUGGUGCUAUUUCUCAUGUUCUGGCACAGUGUGUAGCACCAUAGGGUCUAAGCAGAACCAAAAUUACGGCAUCUUUUUGUCCACCCAUGAAUGAUCACAAUGACAUCUUGCUAGAUUUGUGCAGAUGUGCAAUAUUACAAACUAUUUGUUUCUCCUUGCCACAAAGCAUCUUCCAUGCACUGACUCAUUGAGAGCUUGCUAACAGGGCUCAGUGAAAAGGCCCUCUUUAUUGGUCUUGUGGUCUGGCCACGAACCAGUGAAAGAGCCUCUUUCUUGCUUAAUUCCCCUUCCUACAGAGGUACCCUGUCCAUGCUAGCGCUUUGUUAUUUCUUUGGUAGUAAAGGUUGUUUCUAGAAUAAUAUUCUGUGAUGUAAUUGUGUUUGUAGCUAGCAUGGUUUGAUGCUCCGGUGUGGAUAGGGUCCUAGGAACCAUUCUGUGAAAGUCAAGGAUAAGAAAUCUCUCCGUUGCACUGAAAUUUCAAAUCCUCAUCCUGGAGAGCAGUCUUGAACCAGAGCUAACAACCACUACGAGCCAGCGACAGUGUUCUAGCUAUACAACAUCCACCAAUCUAUUUACAUCAGUUUUCUAUGGAGAAAUUUUUUGUUUUAUACCUUCGCUGUUACUUGCUCAUAAGCAGUCAGUCAAAUUGUAUUUUUGCUUUGGUUUUCCCUAUUUUCUUUCUUUUUUUUUUUUUUUCCCUGACCAGAGGAUUCAGCAAGUGACAACGCAAGAGGACACGUAGAGAAAACAGUGUUAAUGCACAAAAGUCUUGAUUUCUUUUUAAGCUGCAGAUUUAAAGCCAUAAUAUCUGCCAUGUUCACAGAAAAGUGGUCUUUUAUUGUUCAUAGCAUUUAAUCUCAGCAUUUCUUCUCUUGACCAUUUUGUCUGCCAUGUCAUGCAUGCAGUUCACUGUGCAACUGCAUCCAUGUGCUCAGGCCCAUGCAUGCCUUGGUGAAAUAAAUGUAUUUUCCUGCUCCAUCAAAAAACUAGCUCAGAAGUAAAAAUGAGGUUGUCAAUAUAUUAAAAACAAAUUGACUGAUCCUUUGCAGGAUAUUUUAAAGCACAAAUCAGCAUUAAAGUCAACAGUAAACAACAGCUAGAACCUACCCACCACAUAGCCAGCCUAGACCCUCAGCCAGUGGAAUUAUGGUCACUCCAUCAAUUUCAUACAAUCAUAGAAUUGUUUGAGUUGGAAGACACCCUUAAAGGCCAUCUACUCCAACUACCUGCAAUGAACAGGGACACCAACAGCUUCACCAGCUUGUUCAGAGCCCGUGUAGCCUGACCUUGAAUGUCUCCAGGGACAAGUCCAUCCCAUUUAUGCCAUCUGAAGUUACACAUCCAUCCUCUCUGUUACAUCAGUUUUUUAGCAUUACUCUAAAGCACCAAGGCCCCAUUACUAACAGAAGCUCAGCACUUUGCACCAUUAUUUACUGCCCCUAUUACUGUAGCACCUAGAGGGCUAUGUCCUGGACCAAUAUCCCUUUGAGGCAGGUGCAGUGAAACUGCUGAACACAGGGACACCCCAUGGGUCAAGCACCAUGGCCAGAUUUUCAGAAGGCUUCAGCCCCACCAACAUCUCACCAAAAGCAAUAGGAAUUGCUGCCCCAUUGGCUCUUUUGAGAAUCUGUCUGUAAGGUGAGGAGUGUAAGACACGAGCCAUCAUCUCUCACCCCAUGUUAGCUUACACCUCUGGCCCUGACCUACAGCCCAGGUACCUCAUUCCGGCAUAGAACAGCAUUUCUAAUGAUGGGCGGUAGCCAGCAUCUAGGCAAGAUCAUUGGAAAAAAUAAGAAAAAAAAGAAUAAUACUUUUUAAAAAGCAACACUGUUGGCUCUUAGUGGGAUAGCAACCUUUUCAUUUCUGGAUUUGUAUUCCUACAUUUGAAUCGGUCAGCCCAAAUUUCCGAGUGCAACAGGCUGCACGCAGUGUGCCGCUCUGUCCAGCAUGCUGGCCAACGUGCGUCUCUUUGGCAGGAUGUUUCUCAGUCCAGCUGUAGUGUGGAGUACUCAGAAUCUGAACUGGAGUUUACAAAAUACCCUGUCCAGCUUACACUCCUGUUAUGUGUAAAUACUCUGCGCAUCCAUUCCAUUUGUGUAAAGAAUAAAGCACACACAAUUAUAAAUUCAAGAU